rnacentral:rRNA from 1 species
AUUGAACGCUGGCGGCAUGCCUUACACAUGCAAGUCGAACGGCAGCGCGGGGGCAACCCUGGCGGCGAGUGGCGAACGGGUGAGUAAUACUUCGGAACGUGCCCAGUAGCGGGGGAUAACGCAGCGAAAGUUGUGCUAAUACCGCAUAUUCUCUACGGAGGAAAGAGGGGGAUCGCAAGACCUCUCACUAUUGGAGCGGCCGAAGCCUGAUUAGCUUGUUGGUGAGGUAAAAGCUCACCAAGGCGACGAUCAGUAGCUGGUUUGAGAGAACGACCAGCCACACUGGGACUGAGACACGGCCCAGACUCCUACGGGAGGCAGCAGUGGGGAAUUUUGGACAAUGGGGGCAACCCUGAUCCAGCCAUGCCGCGUGCGGGAAGAAGGC